rnacentral:rRNA from 1 species
UAGUGAAUAUAGGACGUCCAACUUAACUUGGAGUCCGAACUCUCACUUUCUAACCCUGUGCACUUGUUUGGGAUAGUAACUCUCGCAAGAGAGCGAACUCCUAUUCACUUAUAAACACAAAGUCUAUGAAUGUAUUAAAUUUUAUAACAAAAUAAAACUUUCAACAACGGAUCUCUUGGCUCUCGCAUCGAUGAAGAACGCAGCGAAAUGCGAUAAGUAAUGUGAAUUGCAGAAUUCAGUGAAUCAUCGAAUCUUUGAACGCACCUUGCGCUCCAUGGUAUUCCGUGGAGCAUGCCUGUUUGAGUGUCAUGAAUACUUCAACCCUCCUCUUUCUUAAUGAUUGAAGAGGUGUUUGGUUUCUGAGCGCUGCUGGCCUUUACGGUCUAGCUCGUUCGUAAUGCAUUAGCAUCCGCAAUCGAACUUCGGAUUGACUUGGCGUAAUAGACUAUUCGCUGAGGAAUUCUAGUCUUCGGAUUAGAGCCGGGUUGGGUUAAAGGAAGCUUCUAAUCAGAAUGUCUACAUUUUAAGAUUAGAUCUCAAAUCAGGUAGGACUACCCGCUGAACUUAAGCAUAUCAAUAAGCGGAGGAAAAGAAACUAACAAGGAUUCCCCUAGUAGCGGCGAGCGAAGCGGGAAGAGCUCAAAUUUAUAAUCUGGCACCUUCGGUGUCCGAGUUGUAAUCUCUAGAAAUGUUUUCCGCGUUGGACCGCACACAAGUCUGUUGGAAUACAGCGGCAUAGUGGUGAGACCCCCGUAUAUGGUGCGGACGCCCAGCGCUUUGUGAUACAUUUUCGAAGAGUCGAGUUGUUUGGGAAUGCAGCUCAAAUUGGGUGGUAAAUUCCAUCUAAAGCUAAAUAUUGGCGAGAGACCGAUAGCGAACAAGUACCGUGAGGGAAAGAUGAAAAGCACUUUGGAAAGAGAGUUAACAGUACGUGAAAUUGUUGGAAGGGAAACGCUUGAAGUCAGACUUGCUUGCCGAGCAAUCGGUUUGCAGGCCAGCAUCAGUUUUCCGGGAUGGAUAAUGGUAGAGAGAAGGUAGCAGUUUCGGCUGUGUUAUAGCUCUCUGCUGGAUACAUCUUGGGGGACUGAGGAACGCAGUGUGCCUUUGGCGGGGGUUUCGACCUCUUCACACU